rnacentral:rRNA from 1 species
CAGUCGCCACGGUAAUACGAACCGUGCGAACGUUAUUCGGAAUCACUGGGCUUAAAGCGCGUGUAGGCGGGCCGCCACGUCGGCUGCUGAAAUCCCCCGGCUCAACCGGGGAACGGGCUCCGAUACGAGCGGCCUCGAGGGGGGUAGGGGGGUCUGGAACUUCCGGUGGAGCGGUGAAAUGCGUUGAGAUCGGAAGGAACGCCCGUGGCGAAAGCGAGGCCCUGGACCCUUUCUGACGCUGAGACGCGAAAGCCAGGGGAGCGAACGGGAUUAGAUACCCCAGUAGUCCCUGUCUCUUAUA